rnacentral:rRNA from 1 species
AGAUUGAACGCUAGCGGGAUGCUUUACACAUGCAAGUCGAACGGCAGCGCGGACUUCGGUCUGGCGGCGAGUGGCGAACGGGUGAGUAAUAUAUCGGAACGUGCCCAGUAGCGGGGGAUAACUACGCGAAAGCGUGGCUAAUACCGCAUACGCCCUACGGGGGAAAGGGGGGGAUCGCAAGACCUCUCACUAUUGGAGCGGCCGAUAUCAGAUUAGCUAGUUGGUGAGGUAAAGGCUCACCAAGGCGACGAUCUGUAGCUGGUUUGAGAGGACGACCAGCCACACUGGGACUGAGACACGGCCCAGACUCCUACGGGAGGCAGCAGUGGGGAAUUUUGGACAAUGGGGAAACCCUGAUCCAGCCAUCCCGCGUGUGCGAUGAAGGCCUUUGGGUUGUAAAGCUACUUUUGGCAGGGAAGAAACGGCGUGCCCUAAUACGGGACGUCACUGACGGUACCUGCAGAAUAAGCACCGGCUAACUACGUGCCAGCAGCCGCGGUAAU